AUGGCAGCCUCCCUCCUCCUCCUCUCCCCCUCGCCUCACUGCCACUGCAUUACCACGCCCACCAGGGGAACCGGAACGCCGCUGCCUUCCCCGCGGUGCCACCCACCAGCUCCGCGGCGCCGGCCGCGGCCGCGGGGCGCGGGGCUGGUGGCGAGAGGCGCCGCGGUGCCUCCCGAGCAAAGCUUAGCGCCUCACUACGAGACUCUGGGCGACGCCAAGUCUGCGCUGUACCAAGCUCUGGAAGGUAUCGACAGAGGAAUAUUUGGCAUAACCUCCGCGAAAAGGUCCGAGAUUCAUGCUCUGGUGGAGCUCUUGGAGUCCCGGAAUCCUACACCGAAUCCCACCGACAAAUUGCACGACAAGGUGGACGGCUGCUGGAGGCUCAUCUAUAGCACCAUCUCGAUUCUGGGGAAAAGGAGAACCAAGUUAGGCCUGCGAGAUUUCAUCAGCCUGGGGGAUUUCUUCCAGAUAAUCGAUGUCAAGGAGGAAAAGGCGGUGAGUGUCAUAAAGUUCAGCGCAAGAGCAUUGAAGAUAUUCUCAGGCCAACUUGCUAUUGAAGCAUCCUACACUAUCACGACAAAAACAAGAGUGGGUAUCAAGCUUGAGAGUUCAACAAUCACCCCAGAUCAGUUGAUGAAUAUCUUCCAGAAGAACUACGACAUGCUCCUUGCCAUAUUCAACCCAGAAGGUUGGCUUGAGAUAACAUAUGUUGACGAAUCUCUACGGAUCGGCAGAGAUGACAAGGCAAACAUCUUUGUUCUGGAGAAAACAGACCCAUCUCAAGUGUAA
rnacentral:rRNA from 1 species